rnacentral:lncRNA from 1 species
GAUGAAAGCCACCUGAAGGCUAAUUCCAAGCUGGCUAAUGGAGAUUUGCUCAGCAGUGGAAGCCGAGAAUUUUCUGGAUAUGUUGAAAGUGGUUUGAAGACCAUCUUGUGUGUGCCCUCAACCACCCUGCCUUCUUCACUGAGCGACUCUACUACUCCACGAAAGGCGCUGGAAUGGAUGACUCCACCCUGGUCAGGAUUGUGGUCACUCGAAGGGACAUUGACCUUAUUCAGAGAAAACAGAUGUUCACUCAGAUGUAUCAGAAGACCCUAAGCACAAUGAUCACAAGUGACACGAGUGGAGAUUACAGGAAGCUGCUCCUGGCCAUUGUUGGCCAGUGAGAGGGAUUUUUUUUUUCCCUUUAAGGAAUGAAGCUCCUUCCGAGCAAUGAGACCUGCAUGCAGCCACGUCAGACAGCAACUGACCAGAGUGGUUUUCCACUGAGGCCUGUCAGGGCGUGUGCUGUGUUUGCACAUGUUGUUACUGCAUUAAUUCUAAUGUUAGUUUUUUUUCUUUCUCUAUCCAAUCAGUGUAAAAGCCAUAUCAAUGACAUAGUAAUGUAAUAUUUGUAAAGCUUCACAUCCACUGCUUUUAUUUUAAUCCAGAUUUCAAAUUAAAUAAAAGUCACAGC